AGUGAACGCUGGCGGCGUGCUUAACACAUGCAAGUCGAACGAGAACGGAAUAUAGCUUGCUAUAUUUGUCAGCUAAGUGGCGCAUGGGUGAGUAAUGUAUAGAUAACCUGCCCUUAAGAAAGGAAUAACAGUUGGAAACGACUGCUAAUGCCCUAUAUGCCUUUAAUACAUAAGUAUGCAAGGGAAACGCUUUAGUGCUUAAGGAUGGGUCUGUAUGGUAUCAGCUUGUUGGUGAGGUAAUGGCUCACCAAGGCUAUGACGCCUAACUGGUUUGAGAGGAUGAUCAGCCACACUGGAACUGAGACACGGUCCAGACUCCUACGGGAGGCAGCAGUGGGGAAUAUUGCACAAUGGACGAAAGUCUGAUGCAGCAACGCCGCGUGGAGGAUGACACAUUUCGGUGCGUAAACUCCUUUUAUAUAGGAAGAUAAUGACGGUACUAUAUGAAUAAGCACCGGCUAACUACGUGCCAGCAGCCGCAGUAA
rnacentral:rRNA from 1 species